rnacentral:ncRNA from 1 species
UUUGUAAAAGGGCAAACAAAUCGUGAGGUUUGGACGCAAAGUUACCAGUCUGUAUUUUUUAUUGCAGAUAGUGGAACUACCAAA